rnacentral:rRNA from 1 species
GUCCGGAACUUGCCAGAGAUGGCUUGGUGCCCGAAAGGGAAUCGGAACACAGGUGCUGCAUGGCUGUCGUCAGCUCGUGUCGUGAGAUGUUGGGUUAAGUCCCGCAACGAGCGCAACCCUUAUCAUUAGUUGCUACGCAAGGGCACUCUAAUGAGACUGCCGGUGACAAACCGGAGGAAGGUGGGGAUGACGUCAAGUCCUCAUGGCCCUUAUGGGUAGGGCUUCACACGUCAUACAAUGGUCGGUACAGAGGGUUGCCAAGCCGCGAGGCGGAGCCAAUCCCACAAAGCCGAUCGUAGUCCGGAUUGUUCUCUGCAACUCGAGAGCAUGAAGUCGGAAUCGCUAGUAAUCGCGGAUCAGCAUGUCGCGGUGAAUACGUUCCCGGGCCUU